CACUGGGACAGGCUGUCUCACUCUUCCGCUAUUUCCUGUAUGAGCAAGAACUGAAAUUGGCCAGAUUCAUGCCCUACGUGGCGACCAACCAUAAUGCCUUCCCUGUCGGCUGCUACGCCUUCCCUGUGGUGUUGAAAUCCACGCUCCUGGGACUAGCCUUCAUCCAGUAGCUGAUGGAAGCAGAAGCAGAGAGUCACAGCUAAGCACUGAGCUGAACUCCUGGAAUCCAGUUGUAGAGAGGGAAGAGUGAUAAGAAAAGGGAUCAAGACCAUGCUGGGGAAACCCACACAAAUAGCUGACUUGAGCAAGUGGGAGCUCAUAGAACCCAGUUUGACAGCUAGGGGAAGCAGCCUAAGACCAAACCAGCCCCUUGAACAUGGGUGUCAGCUG
rnacentral:lncRNA from 1 species